rnacentral:rRNA from 1 species
AGUGAACGCUGGCGGUAGGCCUAACACAUGCAAGUCGAACGGCAGCACAGGAGAGCUUGCUCUCUGGGUGGCGAGUGGCGGACGGGUGAGGAAUACAUCGGAAUCUACUUUUUCGUGGGGGAUAACGUAGGGAAACUUACGCUAAUACAGCAUACGACCUACGGGUGAAAGCAGGGGACCUUCGGGCCUUGCGCGAUUGAAUGAGCCGAUGUCGGAUUAGCUAGUUGGCGGGGUAAAGGCCCACCAAGGCGCCGAUCCGUAGCUGGUCUGAGAGGAUGAUCAGCCACACUGGAACUGAGACACGGUCCAGACUCCGACGGGAGGCAGCAGUGGGGAAUAUUGGACAAUGGGCGCAAGCCUGAUCCAGCCAUACCGCGUGGGUGAAGAAGGCCUUCGGGUUGUAAAGCCGUUUUGUUGGGAAAGAAAUCCAGCUGGCUAAUACCCGGUUGGGAUGACGGUACCCAAAGAAUAAGCACCGGCUAACUUCGUGCCAGCCGCCGCGGUAA